AUUGAACGCUGGCGGCGUGCUUUACACAUGCAAGUCGGACGAGCGGCGAACGGGUGAGUAAUAUAUCGGAACGUACCUAGUAAUGGGGGAUAACUAAUCGAAAGAUUAGCUAAUACCGCAUAUUAUUCGAUCUGCCGAUAUCUGAUUAGCUAGUUGGUGGGGUAAAGGCCUACCAAGGCGACGAUCAGUAGCGGGUCUGAGAGGAUGAUCCGCCACACUGGGACUGAGACACGGCCCAGACUCCUACGGGAGGCAGCAGUGGGGAAUAUUGGACAAUGGGCGCAAGCCUGAUCCAGCCAUGCCGCGUGUCUGAAGAAGGCCUUCGGGUUGUAAAGGACUGUUGUAAAGGAAGCGGUACCUGAAGAAUAAGCACCGGCUAACUACGUGCCAGCAGCCGCGGUAAUAC
rnacentral:rRNA from 1 species